CACCUUCGUCUGGGCAAUCUCGAACGAGUCUUGGAUUCUUGGUUGGGAAGGUGCCCAGGACCUCCGCAUCCUCCCUCCAAAUUUGCCUUGUACCUUCGCUCCGCUCGACCGGAUCUGCACAUCUGCAAUCAAACGAAAACAAAAGCUCCACACCUCCACUGAUGACCCGUCGAAGGUAACCAGCAAGCGAAUGACGUUAGAGAUGGUCGAGGAUGAAGCUCGAUCCGAUGAGCUCGGCGGUGAUUCCAUCCCAAAAAGUGACGUGCGAGGGUGACGACCAAAAACCUUGAUCCAUAUUCCCAACAUUGAUGUUUCGUUUCCUACUUCCCUUCUAAAGACGAAUCCAUUGUUAGCCCAACAGUACCACGCAACACGCGCCUUCGGACCUCCAUUCCUGAGUGUUCGGCUCCGAUCUCCCUAAACACUAGUGACCGACUCCUAGG
rnacentral:lncRNA from 1 species